rnacentral:rRNA from 12 species
AAAUUGAAGAGUUUGAUCAUGGCUCAGAUUGAACGCUGGCGGCAGGCCUAACACAUGCAAGUCGAACGGUAACAGGAAGCAGCUUGCUGCUUCGCUGACGAGUGGCGGACGGGUGAGUAAUGUCUGGGAAACUGCCUGAUGGAGGGGGAUAACUACUGGAAACGGUGGCUAAUACCGCAUAACGUCGCAAGACCAAAGAGGGGGACCUUCGGGCCUCUUGCCAUCAGAUGUGCCCAGAUGGGAUUA